UAGGGAAUCUUCGGCAAUGGGGGCAACCCUGACCGAGCAACGCCGCGUGAGUGAAGAAGGUUUUCGGAUCGUAAAGCUCUGUUGUAAGUCAAGAACGAGUGUGAGAGUGGAAAGUUCACACUGUGACGGUAGCUUACCAGAAAGGGACGGCUAACUACGCGCCAGCAGCCGCGGUAAUACGUAGGUCCCGAGCGUUGUCCGGAUUUAUUGGGCGUAAAGCGAGCGCAGGCGGUUUGAUAAGUCUGAAGUUAAAGGCUGUGGCUCAACCAUAGUUCGCUUUGGAAACUGUCAAACUUGAGUGCAGAAGGGGAGAGUGGAAUUCCAUGUGUAGCGGUGAAAUGCGUAGAUAUAUGGAGGAACACCGGUGGCGAAAGCGGCUCUCUGGUCUGUAACUGACGCUGAGGCUCGAAAGCGUGGGGAGCGAACAGGAUUAGAUACCCUGGUAGUCCACGCCGUAAACGAUGAGUGCUAGGUGUUGGAUCCUUUCCGGGAUUCAGUGCCGCAGCUAACGCAUUAAGCACUCCGCCUGGGGAGUACGACCGCAAGGUUG
rnacentral:rRNA from 1 species